rnacentral:rRNA from 1 species
UACGGGGGGGGAAAGCGUUGUUCGGAAUUACUGGGCGUAAAGGGCUCGUAGGCGGCCAACUAAGUCAUACGUGAAAUCCCUCAGCUUAACUGGGGAACUGCGUGUGAUACUGGAUGGCUUGGAUUUGGGAGAGGGAUGCGGAAUUCCAGGUGUAGCGGUGAAAUGCGUAGAUAUCUGGAGGAACACCGGUGGCGAAGGCGGCAUCCUGGACCAAUAUUGACGCUGAGGAGCGAAAGCUAGGGGAGCAAACGGG